UACGAAGGGGGCUAGCGUUGUUUGGAAUUACUGGGCGUAAAGCGCACGCAGGCGGAUUGAUAAGUCGGGGGUGAAAUCCCGGGGCUCAACCUCGGAAUUGCCUUCGAUACUGUUAGUCUUGAGUCCGGGAGAGGUGAGUGGAAUUCCUAGUGUAGAGGUGAAAUUCGUAGAUAUUAGGAAGAACACCAGUGGCGAAGGCGGCUCACUGGCCCGGUACUGACGCUCAUGUGCGAAAGCGUGGGGAGCAAACAGG
rnacentral:rRNA from 1 species